UCUGUCUUGAAGACUUUUAUCAAUAAAGUCCUUGACGGCUAAGUACCGAGUUCUGACCCCAGCAGAUCAUAUCUGUCCUGGCAAUACCAUCCUAUCACCUUGAUUCUUGCGCCUGUCUCCCCACGAAGCUGUGACCAGUGUCCUAUUCCACUAUGACUGCCCUGCCCCUCGAUCGGGGCACGAACUCAAACAUUCUUUGUUGAAUGAUUGAAUGUCCGAGCCCCUUGCUCGUCCUUUGUGGAAGCCCAGCCAUCUGUUGUGAGAACUCUUCAUUUAGAAUCAGGGUUUGGAACAAUGGGGAACAGGGAGAAAGAGAUCCAAGAGGCCAGCAGCACCCUUGCGGAUAGGGACAAGAGAAAAAGCGAGGCCGCCUAACGCCCCCUCGGGAUCAGGCGCACCUGAGCCUUCCCGAGUACCAGGUGCAAAGUCACGACGACACGGGGGGUGCACUCCCAGCUUCCUAGCGCGGGACUAACAGUCCUGAUCACCAGGGUAUCUCGGCCUUGGAAAAACGCUAGCUCCCAACUAACUGCGAGGCGGUGCUGUCAAGGCUAUUUAACAGAGUUUAGGGUUUUGCCAACUCUCAUGGAAGAAAAAAGAGAGGGCAGAACAAUCUGGCGAAGGCAAAAGGGGCGUUUCUUUAGGAAGCUUUCGGCUGGCUCCUGACCUCGCCACCGCCGCUGCCCGUGGCGCCCGCCGGCCUGAUCCAAGUGUCAGGUUUUUGCACCUGCCAUCUUCUCAUCUCUUUGCUCUUCUCUCUUCUCUUCUCGCACUCCCGUUCUUCUGGGGCGCGGGGAGGCGGCGGCAGGUGGCGGUGGGCAAGGCUCUAGAAUGUAAUGUCACUUUGCAGCCGGUGGGGCCAGACUGGGAGAACGGCGAGAAGGCGCUGGGUUUGCUAAGAGCCUUCCCCUGUGCCCAGGCCAUGUGCUGUCAGGUGAGACUGUGGUCUUGAAACAGCCUCCCAGACUCCUGGUCUGAAGGAGGGGGUGGUCCCCCUGCCUCACAUUCUUGAGAAGAAGGAAGACCAACAGAGAAGUAGGAUACCCUGAUGAAACACAGGGUAGUAGACACCUUGCAAGGAGCAAGAGGGGCCUGUCUUUGCAGUGUUCACAGAUGACUUCACCACGGAAAUGACAUGUGAAAGAUGAGGUCCAGGAUUUGUGUUGUUGCAGUGUAUUACACAGUGCUCUACAUGGUAAAAGCCCAACAUUUGUGUAUUGCUUGGAGAAUCACAGAAGGUCAGACCCAAGAGGAAACUUAAGAGCACUGGUUCUGGGGUUCUGUCCGCCCUACAUCAGUCACAGGCCGCCGGGGCUGGGAUACAAGCCAGGAAGCCCACUGCCUGUGAAGACAUGAAUCCGUUUAGCUCCACUGUAGUACAUUUCAGGACGACGAUCAAUGUUUCAGCUGAAAUAUUUUCCCUGCUGCUCACGAGUUAAGAUUAUUUAAUUGAUCUUUUAACCCUCCUAUUUGUCUGCAGGUCAGCAGGUACAUCCAUAAUCUGCCAUUGUGCUCUUGGAACUCGGUCCAGAGUCUGUAAAUAAGGAUGGGAGAGUGCUGUCUCUGCUAUUUAACCCUAUCAAUGUUAUUAUUUUAAAGGAACCAAUUUCCUUCCUUAUAAACCCAGGUAUAUAAUAAAUAAAUAAUUCAGCAUCUCUGAAAUAUUUAUCAUAGGCAGGUAGCAUUCUGCUCUCUCAGAAAAGCAAGUCAUCUAAGAAUCGGAUGCCGUUGGGUAUCAGCACCUCCACUAAUCAUGGGGACUGUGUGCCUGUUGUUUUCCAUCAUUUGUCUGCUGCUCACAGCAACCCUGGGAGUCAGGGAGGGUGUCUCCUUUUUGAAGAUGAAGAAACUCAAGAGGCAUUAAGUACCUUUACAGAGUCAGUAAGUCUGGUAGACAGUAUUCUAAUGAUUCUCUUUCUAACUCUCUGUGCAGGGCAAGAAUUACAGUCCACUUUGUAAGCGUUAGCUCUUAUAAAUGACAACAAUUACUGCGAUUUCUUUCCAGAGAAGCCAUUCUGUUUCUCUGUACUGCCAGGAUGGAACCAAGUACUUAUUACACCAUGCAUCACGUCUGACGCCCAUCCCCGGGUCAGUAGCCAGGAUCCCAAACCAGCCUGUUGUUUUCAAGGCUGAAUCGUGUGUUUGGACCAACAAAGAUCAUCAGAUGACUGCCCUGUGCAUUUCUUUUCAAAAUCUCUGCUUUUGAGAUGACCUGGCUCACGCUGGUGUUUGCUAAAUGUUAUUCACGUGGCUGUUACAGUCACACACUGCUUUUUCUUGGAUGGAAAUCACCUGUUGUUGAUGCUGAUGAUGGUUAAUGCCACGAUUAACCCAGCAUUUACUUCAUCCCAAGGACUGUGCUAACAACUUUACAAAAUGUCAUUUAGUUCUAAGAAAAAAACUUUGAGGUGGAUGUUAAUGUCCUCAUUUUUUAACUGAGAUGCUUGAGACCCAAGAAGUUGCACUAAAUAACUAGUUCUGAACCACAUAGGGAAUAAGUAACCAGCACAACCAGGAUUCAAACUGGGAUCUCACCAAUCAUACAAUGGAUGCCUUGAGCCACAAGGAUACCUCCAGUGGGAGAAGAAUCAGCAUACGCCGUUAACUAGCAUGAACUCUAGUCAUAUUUAGGAGAUAUCUAUAUUUCUAAGCUUAGGGUAUCCAUCUGUGUAUCCACCCAUCUAUUUAUCCAUCCAUCCAUCCAUUCCCUCACUCGCAUAGAUUGUCCCCUUUGCCUGGAAUGUUUCUCUGCUCUCCCUGUAAUUGUGGAGCAAACCUCCUUCUCAUCACUUAAGUCUCUGUUUUAAGUUUCACCUCCUCCUGGAAGUCUUCCUAGCCUGACUGUCCCAUCUCCGUGUUCUCAUGGUGCUCUGUGUCUCCUACUCAGGGGUGGAUUCACAUUCUGAGGGGUCUGAGCCACAAGGUACAGUCAAGGAGAAUGACUUAUGGUGUGAUCGAGGGUAGAAACAUGAAUUAAAGAGGGCAACUAGACCUUAACUUCAUCCUCUUCAGGUGUUUGUUUUUCUGAAUACUCACUGUAGCAUAAUCACAGUCCUCUAGAGCUUAAUCCAAGUGUUAAGCUCUAAAUGUCCUUUAAUCCAAGUGUUGGAAUUUUAUUUCUCUAAGGUACUGAACCAUCUCGGCUCUAAGUAGACCAAAGUUCAAAAGAUUUAAAAUUAUAAUUGUGAUUCAGAUUUGAGUUCCUGAGUCUUAGAUUCAGCAUCCCUACAGUUGUAGCCAAUAGAAAUGUGAGAGCAAAAGUCCUGACCUACCCUGAGGCCCUAAAUGCCAACACCUGUCAUAUCAUGUCAGCGGUCAGUUUGAUUUGCCCAGCCUGUGUUUAUCAGAGCUACUUCUGCUUAUAUAGACUUUGUUACUGAUAAAAAUCAGAUCACAAUAAAUGUUACAUUGUGAUAUUAUACUGUGUUAAUAACCCAUGCGAAACUUUAGAGAUAUUUGUUUCCUACGUACAAUAACAGGAACUCUGUGAAUGUUAUUAUCAACAUUUUACCAGUAUGGGAACUGAAUCUGAGAGGUGUGAAGUGAUCUCCUGAAGGUCACACGAGCUAAUAAAAAGCAGAGGAAACCAA